UCAGUAGGUGAGGGUGUCCCC
rnacentral:siRNA from 1 species